AAAACAAUAAACUUUCUCUCAUAUAAUCGCGGGGAUAUGGCCCGCAAGUUUCUACCGGGUCACCACAAAUGACUUGACUAUGAGUGGACAUUUUUU
rnacentral:ncRNA from 1 species